AAGGCCUUAAGUUAAAUAUUCUAAACUAAUAACCUUCAAAGCUAUAAAUAAAGGGCUUUCCUUUAGGCCUUG
rnacentral:tRNA from 2 species